UUUUGAACCAUUAAAAACACAACUUUCUCCCAAAUAUAAGGAGAGAGAGAAGAUUAGCAUGGCCCCUGCAUAAGGAUGACACGCACAAAUCGAAAAAUGGGGCAACUUUUU
rnacentral:snRNA from 1 species